GUAUACAGGCAUGUGCAUCGUCAUGCAAAAUAAGUCUCUAUUGGCCUUAUUUUUGAAUGCGCGAAUGCAGCUCCUAAAUACGAGGUAAAAACAACUCCUAGGCUGAAUCGCGCGAUAGAACGAAAGCAGCUUUAAACCCAGAGACUACAGUUUCCGGCAUGCCUCGACGCCACAUGUGAUUAGCGGCAACUAGAACUACAUCUUCCGGCGUGCCCUGGUCUCACGUGUGAUUUCCUGCGGAGCAAACUACAUCUCCCGGCAGGCUGCGGAAGGGGGUCGAGUAGGAGGGCCGCCGCUCCCGCCUCCCGCGGCUUCUGGAAGCCGGGCAGGUCCCACUUUGGAGAGGAUGGAAGUGACCGGGGACGCCGGGGUACCAGAAUCUGGCGAGAUCCGGACUCUAAAGCCGUGUCUGCUGCGCCGCAACCACAGCCGCGAACAGCACGGCGUGGCCGCCUCCUGCCUCGAAGACCUGAGGAGCAAGGCCUGUGACAUUCUGGCCAUUGAUAAGUCCCUGACACCAGUCACCCUGGUCCUGGCAGAGGAUGGCACCAUAGUGGAUGAUGACGAUUACUUUCUGUGUCUACCUUCCAAUACUAAGUUUGUGGCGUUGGCCAAUAAUGAGAAAUGGGCCUACAACAAUUCAGAUGGAGGUACAGCUUGGAUUUCCCAAGAGUCCUUUGAUGUAGAUGAAACAGACAGGGGAGCAGGGUUGAAGUGGAAGAAUGUGGCCAGGCAGCUGAAAGAAGAUCUGUCCAGCAUCAUCCUCCUCUCAGAGGAAGACCUCCAGAUGCUUGUUGACGCUCCCUGCGCAGACCUGGCUCAGGAACUACUCCAGAGUUGUGCCACUGUCCAGCAGCUGCAGCACACACUCCAACAAGUGCUUGACCAAAGAGAGGAAGUGCGUCAGUCCAAGCAGCUCCUGCAGCUGUACCUCGAGGCUUUGGAGAAAGAGGGCAGCCUCUUGUCAAAGCAGGAAGAGUCCAAAGCUGCCCUGGGUGAGGAGGCAGAUGCAGUAGACACGGGCAUCAGCAGAGAGGCCUCCUCGGACGUCACGCUGGCGAGCCACAUCCUUACUGCACUGAGAGAGAAGCCGGCUCCAGAGCUGAGCUUAUCUAGUCAGGAUUUGGAGAGUGAGCGGCCCCAAAUGUGAACACUGUCUCCUGACUGUGGCCGGGUGACCCUGGGCAGCUGGUGAACCUCAUCAAACUUCCAUUUGCUCAUCGGGAGAAGGUGAAGAAUCAGAUCUACGCCGAUCAAGUUGUGGAGACCAGCGAGCUAACAAAGAAAUAACAAGUAAAGGUGAUAAAUAUCUUUCACCGGGGAGGAGGGCCACACAUAAGGGACUCCCGCCUGAAUCAGCAAUGACUAAGCCACAUGAGCUACCGGUAUCCCUUCAUACUAUCUUAUCCCUUUUGGUCAAGUUGAAGAUGCUAAGCGGUUUUCAGGGACGAAUAGCCACAGGAAUAGGACAGAUUGAGAGCUUGCCCUCCGAGAACCCACUGCUUUAAUUCAUUCAAAACAGGCAUCCGAGAAACAAAGAGCUAACAGGAGCAAGGUGAAAAGUAAAGGGUGUGGGAGAGGCUGGCACCGAAUCCAAGUGGUGGCAAAUUAGAAAGCUUUCGCCCUUUCAGGCCUUCGUCAUUCAAACUGUUUCAUAAAAGCAAUUUGGUGCAAUUGUUUUCAAUUACCUGCGGUACUAAUUGAAGAGCUGAACAUAAAUCAUCUGUAAAAGCUGAGGCUUUAGCAGCUGAAAGCAAGUCACCCUCUUUCCAAGGAGUGCGUCUUACUCAGAACAAAUGCGGCAAAUGAAAAGCCCUGCCUGCCAUUCUGUGUACACCUGCAAGCAAUUACCACCGCGGACAUGCGGCAGCUCCCUCCGCAGAGGGGCAGCCGCCCCCGGGCACCAUGUUCUCAAACCCUGAGCAAUCAAACCACCCGAAGACAUGGCUUUUAACACAGGCACUGCCAUUCAGGGUCCUGGAGACGGCAUUCACCUUUUUAACUUGGAACUGAAUAACUUGGGUUCUUUAAUAAAAAAUACUCGGAAAACUUCAAAAAAUGUUCAAAUAAGUCUGAAUCACCGUGAUUGAGGCAGGCGUCAUGUUCUUGCAGAACCAUGAUUAGAGACAAGCCUCCACAAAACACACGGCAAACUGAAUAGCUAAAGCUCUCCUGAAAUAACCCACCAGAUGGAGAGGCCCCAAAGAGCUGCACAGACGCAGCGUCGGAUAACCAAGUUCUCUACCCACCUUGCAAACAUCUCAAGGUCUUUGGCAAAAUUUUCUGAAAGAGAAAGACACACACUUUAGGCACCCUCCCAUCUAAUUUCAGAAGCAGGAAAAGUGAAGCCUUGAUUUUUACAGCCAGUACAGUGACUAAUACAACAAACCCUCUUAAAGGUGAAAGGAGGCGCUUCCAGGAGCCCCGCCAUUCCCUAAGAGCCUUUGGCUUUUUUUAUUCAUGAUGACCUCCUUGUCCUUCCCAGAGCCCUCCACCCUUCAUGGCAAGUCUUCCAUUAAUUGUGACUACGCCUUUGGUUUCUAGAAACUAUCCUUUAACUUCUGCUACAGUCAAGGCUUGUGAGGUCUUUCGUUUUCCCUCUGAAGUCAAGCAAAUACCAACGCUAAAGCUCAGCUGUCAAAGAAACUAUGGGUAAUAUAAAAAUGUUAUAAAGCACUGAAACAAAAAAUGUGAUGUCUAAUGUUCCAGCCGUCAGGGCAGUUUAAAACAAUAAAAUAAAGGCGUUAAUGCCCCAGUGUUAGUGUAAUAGGAAAAAAAUAGUUCUUCCCAUAAAAUAUCCACAACUCGCAGCCAAAAAGAGCAGUGUUUCAUGAAGAACACAUGAUGAUGAUGAUAUCUCGGUCUGCUGGUCAGACUCCCCACAGCUCCCACCCACGUACUGCUCCCAGGUGAAAUCAACCUUUGGGGUUUACAGACAUGGCUAGGGAGGCCGAAGCUUCAUACCGCACUGUCGGAAAGUCAGCUCCGAAAUGGCCGCAAUGGUUUGUUUGCUGAACUGCAUCUCUUUGUCCAAUGCAACUUCCUCGCAAAGACAACCCACAGUGUAGUGAACUGCUGCCUUUAGCCUCUGGGGAAAAAAAUCGAAAUAUUUCAUGGGUAAGGUUGCAAAUAAGAGCUUUUCACGGCUUAAAAAAUUAAGACCAAGGAGAGGGUCUGCUCAGCCCAAUUCCUUCGGAGCUUUCCAUAAUGGCUGGGUGGCUUUUCAAGUGUACUAAUCAGUGAAUGAGGCCCACUGGAGUGUGACUUGUAGAAACAUUACCUCCUUGUUAAUGGUUAUGAUUUACGUCAGGUAGAUAAGGAAUUGGAUGGCAAGUCAGUGGGGAGACAGAUCAGACUCGUGCCUGCCAAGGCCCCGCGGGGUUUUACUCCCUUAUUCCAAACUAUCUGCGGAGUUUGGACAUGUGCCUGAGCA